rnacentral:lncRNA from 1 species
AGAUAACACAACAAUCCAUAUCAUCUUCCAGAAACAGGUUCUUUAUCGCUAUUAGUGUUUCAUCCUCCUCUGAUCCGUAUAUAACAUCAGCUGGAUGAAAGAUUUGCUCCAAUCGAGGUAUAGGGUGCUCCAACGGAUAGUAGGAACUGCGCCAUGGUGGCGACCAACGGUCGAACUCCUCCCGGGUGUAUUCAUACCCUAAGCCAAAAGUGGUACCAUGCUUUUUCAGUUUGAUAGGUUUGGUGAUACCCUGGAGAUUCUUUCCAAGUCCUUUUCCGAGCUCAUACCCAUUCCAAUUUAGGAUGCUCUCAUUCUUGUUAUCCACCACCUGUCUUUGUCCACGGUAUUGACUCGCUCGAUGUGAUGGUAUGUUUCUCUGCCUAUUCUCC